ACAUAGUUUGAACACCCGAAACUAGACGAGCUACUCCGGGGCAAUCUAAAAAGAAUCAACCCGUCUCUGUGGCAAAAGAGUGGGAAGACCCCCGAGUAGAAGUGAAAAGCCUACCGAGCCUAGUUAUAGCUGGUUGCUUAAAAAAUGAAUUUAAGUUCAGCCUUAUGUGAUUCUAAAGUCAAGUUUUACUAAAGAAACAAAGCAACACAUAAGAGUUAGUCAAAGAAGGUACAGCUACUUUGAAAAAGAAUACAACCUUAUUAAGGUGUCCAAGGAUCAUAACUGUAUAAAGGGAACAUUUUACCAGUAGGCCUAGAAGCAGCCACCUGAUUAGAAAGCGUUAAAGCUCAGAAAAUAUCUCAACCGGUAAUUAAGAUAAAAUUAAUCCUACCACCCUAAAAAUAUUAAGCCGCCCUAAAAUUAUUUAGAACAGAUAAUGCUAAAAUUAGUAAUAAGGAGGGCCCACCCUCCUCCUAGCAUGAGUGUAAGUCAGACCGGAUUAACCACUGACAACUAACGAACCCAAAUAUAACAGAGGAGAAAAACAGUAAUCACAAAAAACAAGAAAACCCUGAAAAGACCAAUCGUUAACCCAACACAGGAAUGCAAUAUAGGAAAGACUAAAAGGAAAAGAAGGAACUCGGCAAACACAAACCUCGCCUGUUAUACCAAAAACAUCGCCUCUUGCUAACAAAAAUGUAUUAGAGGUCCCGCCUGCCCUGUGACCAAAAGUUUAACGGCCGCGGUAUCCUGACCGUGCGAAGGUAGCGCAAUCACUUGUCUUUUAAAUGAAGACCCGUAUGAAUGGCAUGACGAGGGUUUAACUGUCUCCUUUCCCCAGUCAAUGAAAUUGAUCUGCCCGUGCAGAAGCGGGCAUUAAAACAUAAGACGAGAAGACCCUAUGGAGCUUCAGGCCAAGGACCAAACAUGUUAAAUAAACUAAAAAUUAAGAAAUUAAAACAAAAAGUGACAAAACCAAAUGUAAAAUGGCCCAAGUGCCUUCGGUUGGGGCGACCAUGGGGAAAAAACAAACCCCCAAAUGGAAAAGGGGCCAACCCUUAAACCAAGAAAAUUACCUCUAAGUAAUAGAACAUCUAACCAAAAAUGACCCAGAAAUCUAAUAUUCUGACCAAUGGAACAAGUUACCCUAGGGAUAACAGCGCAAUCCCUUCCCAGAGUUCAUAUCGACGAAGGGGUUUACGACCUCGAUGUUGGAUCAGGACAUCCUAAUGGUGCAGCCGCUAUUAAGGG
rnacentral:rRNA from 1 species